rnacentral:tRNA from 1 species
UUUAUUAAGUUUCACUAAAUUUAAAAAUAAUAUUUAUUAAAUAUAUUUAAAAUAUUUUAAAAUUUACAAAACAAAUUAUAUUUAGUUUCCAUUUUUCAUAAAAUUAUUUUAAUUUGAUUUUUUUAUUAACAUAUUUUCUGUAGUAUUUUUUAUUUUUUUGUUUUAUUUGGAAUUAUAUUUUAUAUAUUAUAAAAAUAAAGAAAAUUAAAAUACAAUAUUAUUUAAAUUAAUAUAAAUUUAUUUAAUAGAA